rnacentral:rRNA from 1 species
UGACGUUACCCGCAGAAGAAGCACCGGCUAACUCCGUGCCAGCAGCCGCGGUAAUACGGAGGGUGCAAGCGUUAAUCGGAAUUACUGGGCGUAAAGCGCACGCAGGCGGUUUGUUAAGUCAGAUGUGAAAUCCCCGGGCUCAACCUGGGAACUGCAUCUGAUACUGGCAAGCUUGAGUCUCGUAGAGGGGGGUAGAAUUCCAGGUGUAGCGGUGAAAUGCGUAGAGAUCUGGAGGAAUACCGGUGGCGAAGGCGGCCCCCUGGACGAAGACUGACGCUCAGGUGCGAAAGCGUGGGGAGCAAACAGGAUU